AGAGCGAACGCUGGCGGCAGGCCUAAUACAUGCAAGUCGAGCGCACCUUCGGGUGAGCGGCGGACGGGUGAGUAACGCGUGGGAAUAUGCCCUUUGGUACGGAACAACUGAGGGAAACUUCAGCUAAUACCGUAUGUGCCCUUCGGGGGAAAGAUUUAUCGCCAUUGGAGUAGCCCGCGUUGGAUUAGGUAGUUGGUGAGGUAAAGGCUCACCAAGCCUACGAUCCAUAGCUGGUCUGAGAGGAUGAUCAGCCACACUGGGACUGAGACACGGCCCAGACUCCUACGGGAGGCAGCAGUGGGGAAUAUUGGACAAUGGGCGCAAGCCUGAUCCAGCAAUGCCGCGUGAGUGAUGAAGGCCUUAGGGUUGUAAAGCUCUUUCGCCCGCGACGAUGAUGACGGUAGCGGGAGAAGAAGCCCGGCUAACUUCGCGCCAGCAGCCGC
rnacentral:rRNA from 1 species